rnacentral:tRNA from 2 species
GCCCCGGUAGCUCAGCCUGGUGGAGCGCCUCACUGGUACUGAGGAGGUCCCGGGUUCGAAUCCCGGCCGGGGCU